rnacentral:rRNA from 1 species
GAAAGCAUUUGCCAAGGACGUUUUCAUUAAUCAAGAACGAAAGUUAGGGGAUCGAAGAUGAUCAGAUACCGUCGUAGUCUUAACCAUAAACUAUGCCGACUAGGGAUCGGGUGUUGUCCUUUUUUUGGCGCACUCGGCACCUUACGAGAAAUCAAAGUUUUUGGGUUCUGGGGGGAGUAUGGUCGCAAGGCUGAAACUUAAAGGAAUUGACGGAAGGGCACCACCAGGAGUGGAGCCUGCGGCUUAAUUUGACUCAACACGGGGAAACUCACCAGGUCCAGACACAAUAAGGAUUGACAGAUUGAGAGCUCUUUCUUGAUUUUGUGGGUGGUGGUGCAUGGCCGUUCUUAGUUGGUGGAGUGAUUUGUCUGCUUAAUUGCGAUAACGAACGAGACCUUAACCUACUAAAUAGUGCUGCUAGCAUUUGCUGGUACGACACUUCUUAGAGGGACUACCGAUUUCAAGUCGGUGGAAGUUUGAGGCAAUAACAGGUCUGUGAUGCCCUUAGACGUUCUGGGCCGCACGCGCGCUACACUGACGGAGCCAGCGAGUAUUAACCUUGGCCGAGNNGGNCCGGGAAAUCUUGUGAAACUCCGUCGUGCUGGGGAUAGAGCAUUGUAAUUAUUGCUNUUCAA